UACGGGUGGCAGCAGUGGGGAAUAUUGCACAAUGGGCGAAAGCCUGAUGCAGCUAUGCCGCGUGUAUGAAGAAGGCCUUAGGGUUGUAAAGUACUUUCAUCGGGGAGGAAAAAACAAAACUAAUAAUUUUAUUUCUUGACGUUACCCGAAAAAGAAGCACCGGCUAACUCCGUGCCAGCAGCCGCGGUAAUACGGAGGGUGCUAGCGUUAAUCAGAAUUACUGGGCGUAAAGAGCACGUAGGUGGUUUUUUUAAGUCAGAUGUGAAAUCCCUGGGCUUAACCUAGGAACUGCAUUUUGAAACUGAAAUACUAGAGUAUCGUAGAGGGAGGUAGAAUUCUAGGUGUAGCGGUGAAAUGCGUAGAUAUCUGGAGGAAUACCUGUGGCGAAAGCGGCCUCCUAAACGAAUACUGACACUGAGGUGCGAAAGCGUGGGGAGCAAACGAGGGAUUAGAUACC
rnacentral:rRNA from 1 species